rnacentral:tRNA from 1 species
GAGGGUAUAGCUCAGUGGUAAAGCACAUGCUUAGCAUGUGCAGUGUCCUGGGUUUAAUCCCCAGUAGCUCCA